rnacentral:rRNA from 1 species
GACGAACGCUGGCGGCGUGCUUAACACAUGCGAGUCGAACGGAAAGGCCCUGCUUUUGUGGGGUGCUCGAGUGGCGAACGGGUGAGUAACACGUGAGUAACCUGCCCUUGACUUUGGGAUAACUUCAGGAAACUGGGGCUAAUACCGGAUAGGAGCUCCUGCUGCAUGGUGGGGGUUGGAAAGUUUCGGCGGUUGGGGAUGGACUCGCGGCUUAUCAGCUGGUUGGUGGGGUAGUGGCUUACCAAGGCUUUGACGGGUAGCCGGCCUGGGAGGGUGACCGGCGACAUGGGGACUACGGUACGGCCCAGACUGCUACGGGAGGCAGCAGUGGGGAAUAUGGCACAAUGGGCGGAAGCCUGAUGCAGCAACGCCGCGUGCGGGAUGACGGCCUUCGGGUUGUAAACCGCUUUCGGCUGUGACGAAGCGUGAGUGACGGUAAUGGGUAAAGAAGCACCGGCUAACUACGUG